CGUCUUACACAUGCAAGUCGAGUGCGCGCCUGAUAGCAAUACAGGUGGCGCACGGCGCACGGGUGCGAUAACACGUGGGCAAUCUGCCCUCGGAUGGGGGAUAACCCCGCGAAAGCGGGGCUAAUACCGCAUGACAUUCCAGAGACCUCGGUCUUUGGACUCAAAGGCCGCAAGGCCGUCUGAGGAGGAGCCCGCGCCCGAUUAGCUAGUUGGUGAGGUAACGGCUCACCAAGGCUAUGAUCGGUAGCCGGUCUGAGAGGAUGGCCGGCCACACUGGAACUGAGACACGGUCCAGACUCCUACGGGAGGCAGCAGUGAGGAAUAUUGCGCAAUGGGCGAAAGCCUGACGCAGCGACGCCGCGUGGGGGAUGAAGCUUUUCGGAGUGUAAACCCCUUUCGACCCGGACGAAUGACCCGCAAGGGUUUGACGGUACGGGUAUAAGAAGCCCCGGCUAACUACGUGCCAGCAGCCGCGGUAAUACGUAGGGGGCCAGCGUUGCUCGGAAUUACUGGGCGUAAAGGGUUCGUAGGCGGUGCGGUAAGUUGGAAGUGAAAUCUCUGGGCUUAACCCAGAGGCUGCUUUCAAAACUGCCGCGCUCGAGUGCGAGAGAGGUCAGUGGAAUUGCAGGUGUAGCGGUGAAAUGCGUAGAUAUCUGCAGGAACACCCGU
rnacentral:rRNA from 1 species